rnacentral:snRNA from 1 species
UGCUCUUGUUUCUCUUCAGAUCGUAUAAAUCUUUCGCCUUUUACUAAAGCUUUCCGUGGAGAGGAACAGGAAGAGUUUCGCCCAAUUUUUAGAUGCCCUACAUAAGUGGUGCU